UCAAGUAUUUUAUAUGCAAUGUCUUUUUUUUCAGAUCACACGAUUUAUUAUUUAUGACUUAUUCAAUGACAUAAACCACCAAUUAAAAUUAAACUGUCAGAAAAACAGACACAUGCAUGAUUUUUUAAUACAAGAAAAAGCUCAUUUUGACUGGCCAAACACUCAGGCUAACAGACCACAGGAAUGCUUUUCAAAAGGUGGUGUAGUCCUCUACGGUAAGCGGUUUCUAUCAGAUGGAUUUAUGACAAGAUUACCACCCAAGGCCACGGAAGCCCAUCUAAGGCUCCAUGGUCAGUGCUGAUGGUCAAUGUGGACUUAACAUGUACAGGCAAAUUCAAGAAGGAAGCGACUUCUCCUUGUUUAAAUUAAGUCACUGGAUCACAGGCUGACCAACCACACAAAGAGACCAUGUGACAACCAUCAGCUACCACUGUACUGAAUUCUUAAAAGGAUCAUCAUAUCAACUUCAACUACAGAAACAAAAACAGGUUUUGGCUGAGAGUAGAGACAGAAGAAAAAAGGGACAAAAGUUCAAUUCCCAGCCUACUUACGUUUUUCAUCUGUUCGGAUCUUUUGUUAAUAUCCUACAUGUAACAGAGACAACUCUGAACAUUAUUUUUAAGACAUGGGAUCUGAUUUACAGGCGGAAGAGGACCAGAGCUUUCUGAAUGCACAUCCCCACUACUCCCACUGCGCCCAUCAUGUAUGCUCUACAAUUUAUGCCACUAGUGCUUCUGGAGAGCCAGAUUGGAAGGGACUACAAAGUUAGAAACGUUUUCAGGAAACACCAUAUUCCUCCAUCUUGUCAUAAUUUCAAGAAAGGAGACAAGAUCUGAUCUGAGUUCACCCAGAAGUUCAACUCUAGGGGACUUCUUAGAAAUUAAUUCAUGGAGUAUAACGCCUGUGUUUACUUGGAGUUAAUAACGCCAAUGAACAAAGCACAUGGAAGAUUUCAAACUACCGUAUGAGAUACCAUGCAGUUUCUUAUGCGGGGUGUGUGGAAGGGGGAGGCAAUGUCUCAGAAAUUCAUCUAGAUGCUUUCCCAACUCAUCUAUGAACACAAAGAACUCAACCACAGAGCACAAAGUUCAUGUACCUUUAAAGGUUUUUAAGAGCAUUUCAUCUGCCAGGUAAUACUUACAGCUAAAUAUGAAGGAUGCUUUUAAAAAAACAAACAAAAACCUUUUAAAUUUGGCCAGUGACGAGAAGCAGUGAAGUAAAGUGUACUUUUAUGAGCCCCAUACUGUAGAGAGCUAGAGGAUGUUGUCUUUCAAACAGGGCCUCCUCCAGAAAUUACACCUCUAGAUGCGCUAAAAAUAAGUUCCAUUUCCCUCAAGUGCCAAACAACUGCAGACUGCCUGUGAAAUGUCAUAUGUAAAGUCAGAGGAGGGCUCAGAGAAAAAUGGCACACAACGUCGACUACGCAAUCGCAUCAAGGUGUGACAAGAUAUGUGUCUGCACCUCUUCCGGUGCAUCUGAAGCUUACCCCAGCAAAAGGGCAAGAGCAGGAAUGCAGGCCAGGAGAGACAAGCCACUAAGCAGCACUCUUCCAUAGCUCCUGCUUCAGUUCCUACCUCCAGCUCCUGAUGUCCUCUGAUGACAGACUGUGGUGUGGAAAUGGGUCAAACAAACCCUUUCCUCCCCAUGUUGCUCUUGGUCAUGACCUUUUGUCAAAUAAGAUACCUACUCUUGGAGGUUUAAGGAGAAUUCAAGAUGACCAUAAAGGCACAUGAAUCAUGUCGGACGUACAUCUGUCCCGUCCUCUGAGAGAGUAACUGCAGUAGUCACAAACUGAACCAAAACCCCAAUAAAUUUGAAAAUACCAUUUCUACAACUUAGGGUUUAUUUUUAUUCAACCAAUAUACAUUACUAAGUAUAGGUUACGGGUUAGGACGCAGACUCCAAAGUGAGUAAGAUGUAGUCAGCUUACUUAUGACAUAAAUUUGGAAUAGCAAAUUCAGUUCCAGGGCUUCCUGGAUACAGAAGAAAGAGUGAGAAAGAGAAGUGGAGAACCAACACUCCAGUGCCCACGUGUACUAGGCAUUCCUCCACAUCACCUUCUCCUUUAACUCCUCCAUCAUGGUCAUGGACAACUACUCUUCUCUCUUCCUGAACUAAGGCAGGAAGGGAGCUAAAGAAGCAGGCACGAAAGGUAAGUCAAGGCAGACAUCAGAGCAGACACAGGAGCUAAGUACAGUCCCUACUGUAUUAGUUGAGAAAGUGAAGCCUGGGGGCUGUGACUCAGCUGUGUGCCAGGAAGAUACUGGCAGGUAGGCAAGGUUCAGUCAGGGAGCGGCAGCCCGGAGGCAGAGGAGAGGCAUAGCGAGAGCAGCUGCUGUGAGAAGCGGCAAAGAUGUUAUCAUUUCUUAGUUUCAAGAUUAGUAGGAGUCGAAUGAGGCUGCUACAAAAGGGGAAAUUGUCAACCUAAAAUAAAAGCUGAUUUGCAUAAUGCACCCCAAAAAUGGAAAGUUAAUGCAUCAUACACAAAUAAAGGCUUUAAACUGUUUAUCUCACUGCUGGAGACUAUUAAAAGAAUUUUGAAGAUUCGAGUUCUCUAGAUAGUUAAAGUCCUCUGUUGUGCCUACAGCAAGAGUUGUUCAGAGCGGGUAGAAUGCAAUCCAUGGAUAUAUUUGUAGGUGGACAAUGCUAAGUUCUUGACCCUAACUUGACGAGUUACUUCAUGGUUCAAAACUGUGGCAAAGUAUCAACAAUAAUUUUCAGUGACAAACUGUGAAUGAUUCCAAAGAACUAGUCCAUGCCAGCAAAUAACCACCAAGCUAACAACAACCUUCUAUGCCAAAGAGGGGCACAACACAGAACUGAAGUUUGCCUUCCUGUGUAGGCAUCAAUUACCCUACGAGGCAUAUACUCUUAGGGGAAGGACAACAUGGACCCUGCAUGAGGCCAGGUAUUCAGCAGAUAACACAGUGUGCUUUAGCAUUAAAUGCAUCUAAAACUACAGAUCCACAGAGCCAAAGUGGCACCCCAUGAUGUCCAUGUUUCUCUCCUGGGUGCUGGUUUAGAAUCCUAGUUUCUAUUCCAACUACCUGU